GGCGUGGGCUUAACACAUGCAAGUCGAACGAUGACUUUCGUGCUUGCACAGAUGAUUAGUGGCGAACGGGUGAGUAACACGUGAGUAACCUGCCCCUGACUCUGGGAUAAGCCUGGGAAACUGGGUCUAAUACUGGAUAUGCACCGUGACCCGCAUGGUUUUUUGGUGAAAGAUUUAUUGGUCAGGGAUGGACUCGCGGCCUAUCAGCUUGUUGGUGAGGUAAUGGCUCACCAAGGCGACGACGGGUAGCCGGCCUGAGAGGGUGACCGGCCACACUGGGACUGAGACACGGCCCAGACUCCUACGGGAGGCAGCAGUGGGGAAUAUUGCACAAUGGGCGAAAGCCUGAUGCAGCGACGCCGCGUGAGGGAUGACGGCCUUCGGGUUGUAAACCUCUUUCAGUAGGGAAGAAGCGAAAGUGACGGUACCUGCAGAAGAAGCGCCGGCUAACUACGUGCCAGCAGCCGCGGUAAUACGUAGGGCGCAAGCGUUAUCCGGAAUUAUUGGGCGUAAAGAGCUCGUAGGCGGUUUGUCGCGUCUAUCGUGAAAGUCCGAGGCUCAACUUCGGAUCUGCGGUGGGUACGGGCAGACUAGAGUGAUGUAGGGGAGACUGGAAUUCCUGGUGUAGCGGUGAAAUGCGCAGAUAUCAGGAGGAACACCGAUGGCGAAGGCAGGUCUCUGGGCAUCUACUGACGCUGAGGAGCGAAAGCAUGGGGAGCGAACAGGAUUAGAUACCCUGGUAGUCCAUGCCGUAAACGUUGGGCACUAGGUGUGGGGGACAUUCCACGUUUUCCGCGCCGUAGCUAACGCAUUAAGUGCCCCGCCUGGGGAGUACGGCCGCAAGGCUAAAACUCAAAGGAAUUGACGGGGGCCCGCACAAGCGGCGGAGCAUGCGGAUUAAUUCGAUGCAACGCGAAGAACCUUACCAAGGCUUGACAUGUGCUAGAUCGCCAUAGAAAUAUGGUUUCCCCUUUGGGGCUGGUUCACAGGUGGUGCAUGGUUGUCGUCAGCUCGUGUCGUGAGAUGUUGGGUUAAGUCCCGCAACGAGCGCAACCCUCGUUCUAUGUUGCCAGCACGUUAUGGUGGGGACUCAUAGGAGACUGCCGGGGUCAACUCGGAGGAAGGUGGGGACGACGUCAAAUCAUCAUGCCCCUUAUGUCUUGGGCUUCACGCAUGCUACAAUGGCCGGUACAAUGGGUUGCGAUACUGUGAGGUGGAACUAAUCCCAAAAAGCCGGGCUCAGUUCGGAUUGGGGGCUGCAACUCGACCCCAUGAAGUCGGAGUCGCUAGUAAUCGCAGAUCAGCAACGCUGCGGUGAAUACGUUCCCGGGCCUUGUACACACCGCCCGUCAAGUCACGAAAGUUGGUAACACCCGAAGCCGGUGGCCUAACCCCUUGUGGGAGGGAGCC
rnacentral:rRNA from 1 species